GAUGAACGCUGGCGGCGUGCCUAAUACAUGCAAGUCGAGCGAACGGACGAGAAGCUUGCUUUUCUGAUGUUAGCGGCGGACGGGUGAGUAACACGUGGAUAACCUACCUAUAAGACUGGGAUAACUUCGGGAAACCGGAGCUAAUACCGGAUAAUAUUUUGAACCGCAUGGUUCAAAAGUGAAAGACGGUCUUGCUGUCACUUAUAGAUGGAUCCGCGCUGCAUUAGCUAGUUGGUAAGGUAACGGCUUACCAAGGCAACGAUGCAUAGCCGACCUGAGAGGAUGAUCGGCCACACUGGAACUGAGACACGGUCCAGACUCCUACGGGAGGCAGCAGUAGGGAAUCUUCCGCAAUGGGCGAAAGCCUGACGGAGCAACGCCGCGUGAGUGAUGAAGGUCUUCGGAUCGUAAAACUCUGUUAUUAGGGAAGAACAUCUGUGUAAGUAACUGUGCACAUCUUGACGGUACCUAAUCAGAAAGCCCCGGCUAACUACGUG
rnacentral:rRNA from 1 species